GACGAACGCUGGCGGCGUGCUUAUCACAUGCAAGUCGAACGGAAAGGCCCUGCUUUUGUGGGGUGCUCGAGUGGCGAACGGGUGAGUAACACGUGAGUAACCUGCCCUUGACUUUGGUAUAACUUCAGGAAACUGGGUCUAAUACCGGAUAGGAGCUCCUGCUUCAUGGUGGGGGUUGGAAAGUUUCGGCGGUUGGGGAUGGACUCGCGGCUUAUCAGCUUGUUGGUGGGGUAGUGGCUUACCAAGGCUUUGACGGGUAGCCGGCCUGAGAGGGUGACCGGCCACAUUGGGACUGAGAUACGGCCCAGACUCCUACGGGAGGCAGCAGUGGGGAAUAUUGCACAAUGGGCGGAAGCCUGAUGCAGCAACGCCGCGUGCGGGAUGACGGCCUUCGGGUUGUAAACCGCUUUCGCCUGUGACGAAGCGUGAGUGACGGUAAUGGGUAAAGAAGCACCGGCUAACUACGUG
rnacentral:rRNA from 1 species